rnacentral:SRP_RNA from 1 species
GCUGGGCGUGGUGGUGCAUGCCUGUAAUCCCCGCUACUUGGGAGGCUGAGGUGGGAGAAUCGCUUGAACCUGGGAGGUGGAGGUUGCAGUGAGCUGAGAUCGCACCACUGCACCCCAGCCUGGGUGACAGAGUGAGACUCCAUCUCAA